UACGGAGGGUGCGAGCGUUGUCCGGAAUCAUUGGGCGUAAAGGGCGCGUAGGUGGCGGGACAAGCGUGCGGUGAAAGCUCGGGGCUCAACCCCGAGUCGGCCGUGCGAACUGUUUUGCUUGAGCACUGUAGAGGCAGGCGGAAUUCCGGGUGUAGCGGUGGAAUGCGUAGAGAUCCGGAAGAACACCGGUGGCGAAGGCGGUUAGCUGGGCAGUUGCUGACACUGGAGGCGCGACAGCGUGGGGAGCAAACAGG
rnacentral:rRNA from 1 species